UUAGGAAUAUUCGUCAAUGGGGGAAACCCUGAACGAGCAAUGCCGCGUGUGUGAUGAAGGCCCUCUGGGUUGUAAAACACUGUUGUUUGGAAAGAAAUGUAUAAGUAGGAAAUGACUUAUACUUGACGGUACCAUUCAAGAAAGCCACGGCUAACUACGUGCCAGCAGCCGCGGUAAUACGUAGGUGGCGAGCGUUAUCCGGAUUUAUUGGGCGUAAAGAGUGCGCAGGCGGUUUGCUAAGUCUAAGAUUAAAGUCCGAAGCUUAACUUCGGUUCGUUUUAGAAACUGGCAGGCUAGAGUAUGGUAGAGGCAAAUGGAAUUUCUAGUGUAGCGGUAAAAUGCGUAGAUAUUAGAAGGAACACCAGUGGCGAAGGCGAUUUGCUGGGCCAUUACUGACGCUCAUGCACGAAAGCGUGGGGAGCAAAUAGG
rnacentral:rRNA from 1 species